rnacentral:misc_RNA from 1 species
AAGGAUCAUUAGUGAAUUAAACAUGCUUGGUGUCUUCGCUUCGGCAAGGCCCUUGCUUAACUCACAUCCCAACACCUGUGAACUGUAAGGCGCAUGACUAGGUUCGCCCAAGUCAUCGUCUGCCCUUUUUAACAAACAAUUAAUGUAACAAACGUAGUCUUAUUAUAACCUAAUAAAACUUUCAACAACGGAUCUCUUGGCUCUCGCAUCGAUGAAGAACGCAGCCGUACGGCGAUGUGGAAGUAAAAGUCGUAACAAGGCAUCGAUGAAGAACGCAGCGUAGCCAGCUGCAUCGAUGUGGAAGUAAAACUUUCAACAACGGAUCUCUUGGUCCUG